AAUCCUCUCCGUCCGUCCUUCUGCUGGACCCGGUUCAUGGGCCUGUUGGGCCAAAUCCAGCUGGGACGUGGGAGUCGGGAAACGAGCAAAACGUUGCUCAAGUUUUUCUACGGUACACGAUAAACAGGCACAGGUGCCCAUCAACUGGAUUCAGGUCUCAUUCUCAACCUCUCUGAGUCAUGCAAAAUCCAUAUUGAGAAAAGUACGCGCUAAACACACAUUUAUGUACUUGACAUACAUUACAACAUAUCCAUAUUGAAAAUAGUAUAGUACAUGAAAGAAAUGAAAGGUAGCCAUAAAAGUAGGAUUCCUUAGUUACGAGCACAAGCAUACUUUUGUUUUCUUGGAAAAAUGCUUGCACACUUUUGUUGUAAGACCUAAGAUCGACGGGAAGAUUAAGGAAAUAUAUUUCGUAAAAAAAUAUGUUUAUUAUAUUUUGAUAACAAUGUACUUUUCGUCCCAACUUCUUGUAAAGUUUGCAAUAUUUUUUUAUCCUUUUCGUAUAGUUUUUGUCUCUCUACUAUUAAAAUCGAACACCAAUGAUGACAUGUCAUAGUUUGCCACAUCAAUUGACUACAGGGCUAAAAGAAAAAAAAUGUUGAUCUAACAGGCCGACAUGGAAAUUCAGGCAGCAUAAUCAUGACAAGUCGGCAUUAAGGGAGCGUUUGGAUUGCGUCCUGAACGUGGUAGCCUGGCCCGAGAGGCAGCCGGACGUGCGCAUGCGCUUGUUUGCUUGGCAUCCGCCCAGGCAGCUGCAGGCCUCCAAAAUUGAUGGGCUGAGCUCACCCUCGCUACCUGCCUGACCAAGUAGCUGUUUUUAUCAGGCAUUUUGUUCAGGACUCCAACCAAACAGGCCCUAAUACCAGUUUGGAUGUGGUGAUGAACUACUAGUGUCCGUUUAAAAAUCAAAAAACGGUUAAGAGAUCAUUUGCUUAUUUUCAACAAAUCGGCGGGGCCUAUCGGGCGAGUGGCCGGUCUUUGCUGUCGACGUGGGAUGGGCCUAGGCACGGUGCACAGACGACGAGUGAUCAGUCUCUGCCGUGGGUACCGCUGGGCGCAGCCACAGAGGAAUAUCCUGUCGUGCUCGUGCACAGAGGAAAACGCCCUUUUGGAUGCCUCUUGGACUCUUUGGUUGGUGGGAUCUGACGGAAAGAAAAGCGUCUCUUUCCGUGGUAUUUCUUCUGACGUUAAUCUCGGCCACAUGCGACCAUCUUGCCCGGACUCAAUCUGGGCUCGCGGCGGCCUGGACAUACAAAGUUUAACAUGUCAAGAUCGUUCACAAUUGGGGAAACCUUGUUCGAGGGUUCGACCAAGAUUGCUGUCAAGGCCUGAUGGAAGAGCCAGCCAUGGACGUGUCCAUCAAUCCAAGAGUACACACUAGACGGUAAGCAUAGCAAGUGCCCGAUCUGUACUUGUGUUAUUGCAAAAUAAUGGAGAGCAGGUAGUCCACAGAGGUUACCAUGGAGAACACCAUGCUGGGCUGUUGUAUUUAUUGUGCAACAUGAUCAAGUACAAUUGGCUUUUAUAUCCUGCUUGUUUGGCUCUCA